UACGUAGGGUGCAAGCGUUGUCCGGAAUUAUUGGGCGUAAAGAGCUCGUAGGCGGUUUGUUGCGUCGGCUGUGAAAUCCCGAGGCUCAACCUCGGGUCUGCAGUCGAUACGAGCAAACUAGAGUGUUGCAGGGGAGACUGGAAUUCCUGGUGUAGCGGUGAAAUGCGCAGAUAUCAGGAGGAACACCGGUGGCGAAGGCAGGUCUCUGGGCAACAACUGACGCUGAGGAGCGAAAGCGUGGGGAGCGAACAGG
rnacentral:rRNA from 1 species